GGCUCAAUGGUCUAGUCGUAUGAUUCUCGCUUUGGGUGCGAGAGGUCUCGGGUUCAAUUCCCGAUUGAGCCC
rnacentral:tRNA from 1 species